ACUGCAGAAAAAGUUAUUUCACUUAUGAUAUUUACUUAAUCAGGAUUUUGUAUGCAGAACUUUAAUUUUAAUAGAUCCAGCACUUUUUAAGACUGUAUGGAUGGAUAUAAGAAAUGAGUAGCCUCGUGCAACUAAAAGUGUGCUUUGGCAUAAAUGAAGUUAGACGUACCUUGUCAUUAUAUUACAUAAUACCCUUUGUGUUGUUUGGGUGUGCAUUGUAGGGUUACAUAAACGGGUGUUUGCCUUGCUAGAAAUCUAGGUCAGACAUUGGCUAGAUCAUUAGCAUUAGCCUUUAGCAUGCUGUAAGCCUACAGAUGUAGUCUGUGUGCCUAUUUCACAACAUGUUCAGUUUUUUUUACAAAUAACACUUACUUCACAUAACGAACUACCUUUAGAGUUGAUAGUUCUGAGAAAGUUGCAAAACAGGAGGUCUGGAAACAUGAGAACACGUGCCCCUACCUGCUGGAAAACAAAAGGUAAAGUAAUGAUGCCAUGCCACCUUGUGGUGAAAUAAAAUAGCCCGGAUCCCGGAAGUGAAUAGCCUGUUUGCUACUCUUACCAUUCACCAUUCAUCACUUAGUAAUGGUUAAUGUACGCUGUUUACUAAUAUGGGACCGACGUCAAACGGCACGUUGCUGAGAAAUAGAAAGAAGAGAGUUGAAAACACCCCAAUACGUCAGGUUUGAGCCCAAGUGGGUGCAGUUUUUCACACCAUGUUGGUGACAGCAUAUCUUGCCAUCAUUUUCCUGCUUGCCCUGUGUGUUGUCCUGGAGCUCACAGCACGCCGCCUCACCCCACCUCAGUCUGCUCCUACUGCUGUAGCCAACCCGGCGUUCCGUCGCUUCCAGAGUAUAUUCCUGCGGGCAUACCUUUUGGCUUUGUGGGCAGACUGGCUCCAGGGUCCUUACCUCUACAAACUGUACCGCCACUACAGCUUCCUGGAAUCCCAAAUAGCGAUCUUAUAUGUGUGUGGACUUGCCUCCUGUGUUCUGUUUGCCCCUUUUUCAGGCUGGCUCCCUCAAGUCUUGGGCCGCAGACAGACAUGUCUUCUCUUCUGCGUAUCAUACUCUGCUUGUUGUCUCACCAAGCUGUCCAGAGACUACUUUGUUUUGAUUGUGGGCCGGAUCCUGGGGGGUCUGUCCACAUCCCUGCUCACUACCACAUUUGAAUCCUGGUACGUGCACCGUCAUGUAGAAGUACACGAUUUUCCCAAGGAGUGGAUCCCCAGUACCUUCACCAAAGCUGCUACAUGGAAUCAUGGUCUCGCCGUGGGAGCAGGGCUGGUGGCUAACUUGCUGGCUGAGUGGCUCCACUUGGGGCCGGUGGCUCCCUUUCUCCUGGCUGUCCCCUGCUUGGCGUGCUGUGGCUGGGUGGUGCUAACAGACUGGGGCAAGGAAGAGGCUGAAGAAGGUCUUGAAGGGGAAAAACAGAAACUGCCUCUUGGCACUCCAAAUGCAGGGCUAGCCCGUUUGUCUGCAAGGGCCCGAUUCUCACGCAGCUGCCAUGAUGGGUUGCGCUGCCUGCUCUCAGACAGGAGAGUCAUGCUCUUAGGUGGAGUGCAGGCUCUGUUUGAAAGUGUCCUCUACAUUUUUGUUUUUCUGUGGACCCCAGUUCUGGACCCCCAUGGGCCCCCUUUGGGAAUCGUUUUUUCUUGCCUGAUGGCUGCAAGUAUGGCUGGCUCCUUGCUCUACCGCCUGGCCACCUCCACCCGUUACCGCCUGCAGCCGGGCCACGUUCUCUGCCUGGCUGUGUUGAUGGCCUUCUUCUCUCUCUUUAUGUUGACCUUUUCCACCACCCCUGGUCAACCUAGGCCACGUGAAUCCUUUCUGGCCUUCCUGCUGCUGGAGCUGGCCAGUGGGCUCUACUUCCCUGCAGUCAGCUUUCUCCACGGCAGGGUGAUCCCAGAGGAAAAGAGGCAGAGUGUGCUGGCCUGGUUCCGGCUCCCUCUCCACCUGCUGGCCUGCUUCGGACUGCUGGCUCUUCAUGGGGAGACGGCAGGAACAGGUGGAGGGGAGGAGGGGAGCGGCACCAGACACAUGUUUGGAGGAUGUGCUGUUAUGAUGCUGGCUGCUUUCAUGGCUGUCGUCAGUCUGUUCACUCUGGGUAGAAAUGACACAGAUCUGAGACUGGAGGGAACCAGAGGGGAGGGGGAGAUGGAAAACAUAUUAAAUUAUGAUUGACUGCUUUUAUAUAAAAUGUGCCAGUUUUAUGUGACUAAAAGUAGAGAACUUGUGUGUUUCACUUAAAAAGUCAUAAAAAAAUAUUUUGCCAAAUUGCAGCGGAGGAAAUCAAUGUCUAAAGGGGAUAUUUUGCUAAAUUGAAAUACAUUUUCAUUUUUAGAUGUUGCCUUAUUACUGUUUUUGUUAUUUUUUGGGAGAUCAUUUUACAUAUCCUGUCUGUGUAUGUAUGCUUUGCGAACAUGGCCGUAUCAAUUUUAAUUUGUCAAGUAAACUGUUGGAAUAUCUUAAAACUUCUAUCAUUCCUUAACCAGAUAUCAUGUCAUUGCAUCAUUGUCACCAUCUAUAGGGAACAGACAUGAAAUACUUUACAGAGAGCUCAAUAGAAAUCCAAAGGAAUGUCAUGACUAGCAUGUUAGUUCUUCCAAUAUUUCUGUCUGUGGUUUUUUCCAACAUCUUUUUAUUUUUAUUGAAAAGGAAUCUCAAGUUGAUCCAAGUUUGAAUAUUUCUUCUGCACCAUCAGAAUAUCUUCUCUCUGCAUUACCUUUACAGUUCUCUGCUCUUUACACUCUGAAAUAAAGUUGAUUCUGCAGGCCAUUCUUCCAGAAAUAUCUGGAUUUCACUCAUUACGCACCAUGCAGGCAUCCAUCCUCCCCUUUUUCCCUUCUGCAUUGGUACAGUCCCAGCUUUUCUCUAUGAUGCAGCUUCACCUGGAUGCAGCUAGAACAUCCAUCAGUGGGUGAGGGAGGGGUAACUGCACAAGCCUUAACUGUGUUGUUUUGGUGGAUUACAUCACAAAAUCGUCACAUGGUGUCCAAUCUGAGCAGGCAAGAGGAGCAUUAUUAAUCCACGGUCCUCUCUCACAGCUGUCAGUACUCUGGCCAGACACUGCAAAAAAAACCUUAAAGAAAGGAGACACCAGAGCCCCAUUGACUGGUUGGACUACCG